rnacentral:snRNA from 1 species
UAUCCUAUCGGCUGAUUCGGUUA